UGGAGUCUCACUCUGUCACCCAGGCUGGAGAGCACUGGAGUGAUCUCGGCUCACUGCAAGCUCUGCCUCCCGGGUUCACACCAUUCUCCUCUCAGCCUCCCGAGUAGCUGGGACUACAGGUGCCCACCACCAUGCCUGGCUAACUUUUUGUGUUUUUAGUAGAGACGGGGUUUCACCGUGGUCUCGACCUCCUGACCUCAUGAUCCGCCCGCCUCGGCCUCCCGGGAGAAGUCUUUUGGUUCACCCAUGUCUCCCUGACCAGGAAGCCAACUUCCUAAGUUUGAAUCCACCUGAGAAUUUUCCCUUGAGAGAGUCUAUCUUGCCAAAUAAAUUUCACUUGCAAUUGGGGUUGGCAUGCCAGGGAGGUGUUCUGCUCCCCACCCCCUUUUUCUUCCCUUUUGAACUCAGAUCUGGGAAUUGCUUAAGGAGCUCCUUUGUGGGUUUGAGACAGGCACAACCUGGACUUGGCGGAUAACAAGUCUUAUAGAUCCUUAGAUUGCUGCCUGUCAGUUCCAUUCCCAGGGCACUGUGGCUUAUAAACCACUGCACUUGUGCACUGACUUAUAUCACUUUGUAGCUAUCUCUUAAGGCUUCACCUUCACGUGGGUGACUUCUCUAGCCCCACACUUGUAGGGCUUACGUGCUUAGCAAUCUCAGUUUGUGUUCCUUAGCAAUCUCAACUCUCCCAUUUCUUUUUUUUUUCCAAUGGCCUUGUUUUCUGUUUUUUUUUGAGAUGGAGUCUCACUCUUGUUGCCUAGGCUGGAGUACAAUGGCAUGAUCUUGGCUCACUGCACCCUCUGCCUCCUGUGUUCAAACAAUUCUCCUGCUUCAGCCUCCCGAGUAUCUGGGACUACAGGUGCCUGCCACCACACCUGGCUAAUUUUUGUAUUUUUAGUAGAGAUGGUGUUUCACCAUGUUGGCCAGGCUGGUCUCAAACUCCUGACCUCAGGUGAUCCACCCACCUCAGCCUCCCAAAGCACUGGGAUUACAGGCGUGAGCCACUGUGCCUGGCCUCCAAUGGCCUUGUUGAAGAUCUGAAUUCAGCUUCUUCUUAAACUGAUUGAUUUUAUAUAUCAUUUCCCUUUAUGCCCCAACCAUUGUCCAGCUCAGUCAUGUCAAGAUAAAUCAUAUUUGUCCAGUAGAGAAGUACAGUGGCAAAUGAUUCUGAAGGUCCUGGGGGACCUUCCCACAUUCUUUGUAUCCUUCUAGAUCUCUCUGUUUCAACUCAUAAGUCCCAGUUUUUGCCAAAGAAGCAUGUGGCAGCAGAGAAUUCAGCCUGUGUUGCACAACUGGAAUGACCAGUUUGGGUCCUAUCAGUGCUGACUGCCAUCAGAAAGUGUUUUCUAUACCAGUUACAUGGUGAUCUCUUAUCUGAUAGCUUACCUCCCUCAUCUGAUUUUUGUAUAUUGCUCUAUUCUGCAUCCAGACCUUUGUUCCAGGGUUGGCUAUCUAUCAUCUGCAGAUCAUUUCAUGUAUGAGAAGCAGAAAUCCUUACAUUCCUUUUUUUUUUUUCCAGAGGUUCUUUUGCAACCCAGGGUCUAUUCACUUCAUGAGGUUUGUGAUAGUUUCAGAAACUGCAUGCAAAACUUAUGCAUAUAUGUGAAUUUUAUAGAAGGAGGAGCCACAGCUUCUAUUAGAAUGUCAGUGAGCUGCAUAAGUCCCCAAAAAUCAUAAACAGCUGCCUUACCUCCGUUUAAUUGCUCCAUAUUCUAUAGUAAGGUUUCCAUAUGUUCCUCAAAGCCUUUCCUUCUCCAAGUUCAUGGUCUGGAUCCCAAAAGAGCAGAAACUUUUUAUGGGCUGAUAGCUUUCUAUCUAGCGGUAGGAUAUUCUUCCCUACCUCUCCUUCAUGAUAACACAGCUACUUCACAUCUCCUCUGAGAGGCUGUUGUUUGGCAUCUGACCAUUGGUAAAUGGACGAUACAUUACAGAGGGGGAAUGCUGCUAACUCCAGCUGAAAUGCCUGUUAUUCAGGCCAUAAUAUCAAUCAUCUAAUAGAAGGUGAAGUUGAAAAUUGAUACUCUCUACAAAUAUUAAUUAUACUGUAGAGUUAUACUUUCAUUGGUGUUUAAAUAAAAAGCUUUUUAAAGGUGGCAUUUCUUCUAGAGUGAAACAAAUCAUCAUUAAUACUUUCCCCCUUAAAAUGAAUUUUCUUUAGUUAUGAAAUCAGUGCAUUAUUUUUUUUAAAAAUGCAACAACAUAGGCAAGCAAAAGAAAAAGUAUAAAAUUUUGGCUGGGCACAGUGGCUCACACCUGUAAUCCCAGCACUUUGGGAAUCCGAGGCAGGUGGAUCGCUUGAGCCCAGGGGCUUGAGAUCAGCCUGGGCAGCAUAGUGAGACCCUGUCUCUAUUUUUAAAAAUAUAUAAAUACAUAAAAUAAAAAGUGUAAGAUUUUACUCAUAAUUCAACCCACUUGGUGAAAAAUUCCUAUGACAAUGUGCUGAGUAUUCAAAAUUAUUUGACUGUAUGUGUGUAACUGAUUUAAAAAAUAAAAAUGGAAUCAUGUUUCAUAUUCUAUUUUUAACAGCUUUAUUGAGGUAUAAUUGACAUAUAAUAAAUGCCACAUAUUUGAAGUAUCCAAUUGAUAAGUUUUGACAUAUGUACCCUCUUGUGAAACCAUCUUCACAAUCAAGACAGUGAACAUGUUAUCCAUCCCUUCCAAAAAUUUCCUCAUGCUCCUUUGUAACACCUCCCUCUCACCCAUCUCAUCUUGCACCAACCACUGAGCUGUUCUCUGUCACUACAGAUUAGUUUUCAUUUUCCAGGCUUUUAUAUAAAUAGAAUCAUCCAGUUUGUAUUCUUUUUUUGGUCUGGAUUUUGUCAUUCAGCAUAUUUAUUUUAAGAUUCAUACAUUUUAUUGUGUAUUUCAACAGUUUGUUUCUGUUCCUUGCUGAGGAAUAUUCCAUUGUAUGGCUACAUCACAAUUUAUUUAUCCAUUCUCUUGUUUAUAGACAUUUAGAGUAUUUCCAACUUCUUUGCUUUUAUAAGUAAAGUUACCAUGAAUAUUUUUGUACAAGUCUUUUUAUGGAUAUAUAUUUCUUUUUUCUGGAGUGGAAUAGUUGGAUCAUAUGGUAGGUAUAUGUUUAAGUUUUAAAGAAACUACAAGAUGUUUAUCAAACUGAUUGUACUACUUUCUAUCCACAUAGCAGGGUAUGGAGUUUCAGUUACUCCACCUCCUCACCAACACUAGCAUGGCCAGUUUUUGUGGUUGGUGGAUAAGUUAAUUUCUUUUAUUCACUUUCAGAAUAUCAGAGUUGACAGAGUCCUUAAUAAUCAGUUAGUCCAACUGUUCACUUCAUAGACUGAGAGAUGGGGAG
rnacentral:lncRNA from 1 species